UGGCGGCCGUAGCGCGGUGGUCCCAUCUGACCCCAUGCCGAACUCAGAAGUGAAACGCCGUAGCGCCGAUGGUAGUGUGGGGUCUCCCCAUGCGAGAGUAGGGAACUGCCA
rnacentral:rRNA from 1 species